rnacentral:lncRNA from 1 species
GGGGUGUGUGGUUUGCCUGUGGCAUAUAGAGUGUCCUGGAGGGACUAAGAUUAGGGAGACAUGGGGGCCGGCCCAGUGGCGCAGCGGUUAAGUGCGCACAUUCCACUUCUCAGUGGUCCAGGGUUCGCUGGUUCGGAUCCAGGCUGUGGACAUGGUACCACUUGGCAAGCCAUGCUGUGGUAGGCGCCCCACAUAUCAAGUAGAGGAAGAUGGGCACUAUGUUAGCUCAGGGCCAGCCUUUCUCAGCAGAAAGAGGACUGGCAGUAGUUAGCUCAAAGCUAAUCUUCCUCAAAAAAAAAAAAAAAAAGAUUAGGUAGACAUGAAGGAUGAAUAGCCCACUGGCCUCUUUUCUGAGUUCUUUUUCUUUGGGAUGCCACAAGAAGGCUGCGAGAGCAAGCUGAGGCUCCUCCAUAACACAAUCCCCCCACAAUUCAGAGUUCAUCAGAAUCUCCUUUAGAUUUCAAGCACGGUUGUUAAGAAGUAUUUUCUGUGCUACUUGAAUUUCUAUUAAUCCAAGUUAAUGUUUUUGAAAUUUUAAGUAAUCUACUUUUUUUCUCCUGCAAAUUAAGACGGAGAAAGAUGAACUUUAAAGCCAGAAAAAUUUAGUAAUCUCAGCUAUGAUUGAUGUAAUGGUAGAAAAAAUGGCAUUUUCUCACUUUUUCUCACCCGGAAUAAGUAUGGCGACCCUGAUGGCUGAUGCAGUAGAGAGGGUUAGUUUAAUAAGCACUUUAGGCAAAAGGGUCUUUCUCUGUUAGAUGUCCAAAUGAGGAAGUGCCAACAUCCAUACUUUUCAUCCUGUUAUUUCUUUGGAAAAAAAUGGAAACUAGAUGGAACAAAACUUCCAGUUGUUCAAAAUGUAUCCACAGAUACAACACAGAACACAACAGGCAAAGAAAGAUACUGCUCCCACCGAGCUUCUCUUCUAAUGAAGAAAGAAGAUUAAAAAACCCACACAAUUCACUAGGAAAAGAUUGGAAGCUGGGGCGGGGUGCAGUGGAAGUGCUGAGGCUCCUGGAUGAGAUGAUUGUCCCCUAGAAGCCGAAAAUCCUCUUGAAGAAGAUGAUCAGAUCAUUUGCCUGUUUGUGAGAAUUUGUGAAAAGUAAAAAAGGAAGAAGAUGGACUUCAAGUUAAGAAUUGUCACUGAUUGAAUGGCUUUAUUAUUAUAACAGA